rnacentral:tRNA from 1 species
CCUGAUAGCUCCGUUGGUAGGGAAUCUGCCUGCAAUGCAGGAGACCCUGGUUCGAUUCCUGGGUCAGGA